CUCUCGCUGUGCCUCACUCUCUGCUGCCUGGUUGUCUGUCUCUCCGUUUCCUUAUCAUUUUCUGUAUCGCUAGGUCGGUCGGUCUGUCCUAAAAUCCUCCUAUCUCCUUCGGCUAGGAGGGAGACAGUUUCUUUGUGUCCCCUUUUCUUUUCUCUAACCCACCCACUACCCACUUUGAAAUCUGCCUUUGUGAUUCUGUCCCCAUAACUGGUACCACCUCCCACCCUACCUCUUCCUGGCUCUCCUUUCAGACCUGGGUGCUCAGGCCCAUCUUCCCCGCUAUGUCUCAGCCCCAGUAACUAGAAUAACUGUCUCUCUUGGUAGAACUUAGGCAAAUGGGCACUGAGAAGGGUGACCAUGUCCCCACCCACCUGCUGCCAUCCCCUGACUUCACCAGUGGGUCAGCAACAAGGCAGGGUGCUGUAUGGCAGCUCUGGGGCUCAGCUCCCCACCUUUCACUGAGCAAAAUGCCAUUCAGAUUGAGCGUGCGAAGCCCCAUGGCAGUGGCCAUGUACAUCAGAGUCACGUGGGAUGCUGUUAAAAGUCCAGAUACCCACAUUCCAGCACCACUCCCAUUGAGGGCACGAGCUGGUGGGCUUGGCACAGGACUGAUGGCAAGUACCCUCCACAGCCCCAGCAAUUUUGAAACAGAACCACGGUUGGAGAAAUGCUGGUCUAGGUUUUCACCGAAGUUUCCCCGGGUUCCCCACCCCCUUGACCAGGGUGGUUCCACUUUCAUCUGUCUUUUGCAUCAAGAGUUGUGUGUUUAGAUUUCUGCUAAAGGAAGUUAGGAAUGUGCUAGCGUAAGCCCACCCCACACAAGGGCCUGUGAAACACAGACCUGCAGGUGGCCUGGGUUUGGGAUGUCCCCUGUUCACACUGGGGAGACUCAGAAUGCAGGAACCCUCCCUGGCAGUUCCCAUUUCUCCUCCUGGCCUCAUGGGCUUCAGAGAAUUCCUCUGAUCGUGUGGCUGCUCUGCUCUCAUCAUCUUGUACCCAGGGUAGAGGGCAGGUUGGGAGAGUGAGGGGUGGGGGUGGGAUCCUGGGACCCCCACCAGGUUGGGGUAUCGCUAACCCUGAGAGUGCCUGCUCUAGGGAAGUGGCUGCAGCCCAGCCUGUGGGAAACCAGGAAGCUGUGUGUGGGUGAGAGGAAAAGAGAGAGAGAGGCUAGGAUUGCUGUGUGGGUGGUAUGAAAGAGAAAGAGAUGUGGAAAAGAAAGGAGAGAAAGUGAUUCGGUCUGUACGUAGGUGUGUGACAGUGGGUGUGCAAGAGUGGCUAGGUCUGUAGGAGAGAAUGUGUGAAAGAUUUCAAAGUGUAGGUGUGUAGCAAAAGGAAAUGGAGAAAAGAACAUGCUUUUCACCUGUAUCUAUGAGAGGGAAUAUGUGUGUUUGUGUGAGAAAGUGUGCCUAUGUCUGCUUAUAUGUUUUCAGAUGCAACUGCAGCUCUGUAAGCAAAUCUGAGACGUGUUCACAUGUGGCAGCUGUGCAUGGGUGAGGGGGCCUUCAGGAAGCCUGAGGAGCAGGAGCCUUGUUCUGGGCCCAGUGACCACUGUCAGCUGUUAACACGCACACAGGUCCCUCUGCCUGAACAAAACAGACAUGUCCAGUGGCAGGACUCAUCUGACAACACAGACCCACACCCCUCCCCACCCCAGAGGCUCAGAACAGUGUCCACUAGAGUUGGAAGUGGCUCUAAAUCUGCUACACACCUCCAGCCUCCAAUAACAAGUGGCCACCAGCAAAGGCAGGGAGGCAUCAGCGGUGAGUACCCAGGUUUCCCCCAGAGCAUCCGAGUGGGAGGGAAUUUGGCUUGGCAAAAUCUUCCAACAACUCCCAGAGCCUGAACAACCUUUUCCCAGCCCCAGGUGGGUGGAAGAACACAGCCUGCUGCCUCAUCACCAUGGAGACAGGCAGUAGAGAGGGUGGUUAAAAGCAUGGGCCCAGACCUCCUGGGGUUCAAAUCUCAGCUCCUCCACCCACAGGCUGUGAGACUUUGACAAUUCACUUAAAUUCCUUAUGCCUUAGUUUCCUCAUCUGUAAAACAGAGAUAAGAAAAGUAUGAACUUCACAGGAUUGUUUAUAGGAUUAAAUACUCCAUAUGGCGCAUUUAGCACAGUGCUGGGCAGCUGAACUGGGAGGCAUAAGCCCUGGGUUCCAGCCCUAGCUUUGCCACCAACUUACUGUGUGAGUUUGGACAAGUCACUUGCCAUCUCUGGCACUCAGAGUCUCCAUCUGCACAACAAUCUCAAGAAACGCUACCAGUUAUGACCAGCUGAGACUUUGGGGAGGGCAGCUUAGCAUGGGGCUGUCUUGGUGAGCUGGGGGCCCUAGUGUUGGCUGAGGCCUGAUCAUGAGCUCUACACUACCCUUUCCUCCCCAGAUCUAUUUUCCCAAAUUGGCAGCAGCUGAUGGCAUCUCUCUGUACCCUCUAUCCCUCUAGCCUGCCCACAGGGCCCUGUGUUGCCCUGCUCAGCUGGUACUCAGGCCUUGGAGAAAUGGCACUGGUACCCACUGACCCCAAACAAAGGUAUCUGCAGUGCCCAAAGCAGAAGAUAUAGUGGCUCAUACUUAAACCUGCCUGUGAGCCCUCUAGAGAGGCAGGUACAAUUGCGGAAGGAUGGAUGUAAUUGUUUGAAGAUGCUCAUAAUCCUUCGGCGGUAAUGGCAGGAAGCUUUAAAAUGAAGCCCUAAUCCGCUAAUAACCUGGCAGCCCCACAGCCUUCUUCCCUCCUGAUCUCCAGGAAGGGAGAAGGAACUCUAGCCACUCCCUUUCCCAAGGGAGCAGAAAGGCAAGUGUGGGCUCUGACCCAAGACCACCGGAUUUUGACUCUCCUGCAAGACCCAGCUUCCUUCCUGCCUCCAUCUCCAAGAAGUCUUCCCUGCCCAUUUCAUCCUUCUGAAGUCUUUUCUGCCCCCUCUGUCCCUAGAAAUAUUCUAGGACAGAACUGGAUGACAGACUGGCUGGACAGUAAAGAAAGGAAUGAGGCCUGGUGCGGUGGCUCACGCCUAUAAUCCCAGCACUUUGGGAGGCCGAGGCAGGCAGACCGCCUGAGGUUAGGAGUUCGAGGCCAGCCUGGCCAACAUGGUGAAAUCCCAUCUCUACUAAAAAUACAAAAAUUAGCUGGGCAUGGUGGCGGGCACCUGUAAUCCCAGCUACUUGGGAGGCUGAGGCAGGAGAAUUGCUUGAACCCGGUAGGCGGAGGUCGCAAUGAGCCGAGAUCAUGCCACUGCACUCCAGCCUGGGCGACAGAGCAAAAUACCAUCUCAAAAAAAAAAAAAAAGAAAAGAAAAGAAAGAAAGAAAGAAAGAAAGAAAGAAAGAAAGAAAGAAAGAAAGAGAAAAAAAGAAAAAAAGAAAAAGAAAGGAAUGAACCAUACUGUUCCAGGCAAGAACACAAUCAUAGUCUCAGCUCUGGCACUAGCUGUGUGACCUUGGGUAGGGGACUUAAAUCUCUGAGCCUCAGUUGCCUCACCUGUAAAAUGGGGAGAAUAAUACCUGCCUGCCUUGAGAGUACAAUAACAAGAGUGAGAUGCUAUCAAAUGAACUGGCUUGGUGUGACUUGCCAACAGAGUUCAUUAAAGGUAGUGCCUUCUUCUGUCCUCUCCAUCCAUGGGCUCUUCCAUUCCAAGAUGUCCGCAGACAACACUUUACUCCUAUAAUUCCAGAAGACAGUGGUGGCCAAGAGCACAAGCCUCGUGUUCAAAAAACCAUGACUGGAUCAUGGCUUAGCAGCUUGCUAGUCAUGCAUCUUGGAUAAGUCACAUAUAUUUCCUGAGCCUCUAUAUUCUCAUCUGUAUAAUGAAAAUAAUAAAAGUAUGUCCCUCAUGGGGAUUGCUACGAGGUUAAAUGAAAUGAAAAGGGUAAAGCUCUUGGCACAGGGCUUAGCACAUAAAGGCUUCUAACAAAUAAUAGCAGUCCUAUUGUUGAGCUGAUGAUGGUCAUUUCAAUUAGGUAUAAACGUUUCUUACAUACCUAUCUAGAUUACUCUAAAAUUUCCAAAACACUGCCACAACUAAGAUCAUUGCAACCUCCUAACAGCUCUUUGAGGUAGAUAAGACUCAUAUUUUUAUUUUAUUUUCACAGAGGAGGAAAGUAGAGCUCACCAAGGGGAAGGGAUUUGCUAGGGCUUGGCUAGUCGGCAACAUCCAGUCUAGAAAGCAUCUAUGUCUCCUGACCCCAGCCUGGGCCCGUGAGAGGGAUGGGAGCAGGUCCUGGGAACUUCAGACUGUAGGAGACUGAAUUUGGGCGGACUCUGGUGUGAGGGCCCACCUCCAAGUUCAAGACUGCAGUGCCUCCCUGGGGUCCUCCUUCUUCCUGCCCUAGAGGGAUUAAAGGUCCUUUCUUGCUCCUGCCCAGCCCCCUGUGUGACCCCAGCCUGGUAGACAAUGGUGGCCAUGGGGGGUGAUCAGAGCCUGGAGAGAAUUAUUUCAGAGAGAAGAGUGGGCGGGAAGGCUGGUGAGAUGCCAGCCGGGCGUCAACGACGCCUGCAGAGAAAUGAAGUGUUCCUUCAGUUUCCUGACGCACAAGCCCUCCCGGGACUGUGUCCCCCGCAUGCCCUGCACCCCCGGGAUCUACUGGCUGCGGCUCCUGCUUGAGCUGAGCAUGGCCCUGCUCACGUCCUCCCCAUCUGGACCCACUUCAGCGUUUCCAUGGGCUGGCUGUGGAGGUGAUUCAGCGUGGGCUUCCCUGUCCCGCCCUGCUCUGCAGACAGCAGCCGCUGCAGGAAAAUUAUCAUCAUUCCUGCCCUUCCUUCCUUCCGUGCCGCGCACACUGUGCUCUCCCCACACGCUGUCAUGGGAUCUCACUGCAGCCUAGGUGGUGUUCUAUCUGCCCUUGUCACCUCUAACAAAUGAAAAACCAAGGCCUAGGCGAGGAACGUGGGCCUAGCUCAGCCACUACUAACACGCUGAGUGACCUCUAGCUGUCUUUUUCCUCACUCUGAGUCUCAGUUUCCCCACCUGUAAAAUUGGGGGGUCAAAUUCUAUCAAAGGCUUCAGUCUCUACCUCCCAAGCUCCAUGAGGUCAGCAACCACAUCCGUUUGGUCCAGUGCCGCGUCCCCAGCACCCCCACGUAGCCAGCACUCAAUCCAUUUAAUGAGAGGGUUCUGCCCCAUCGGUUGCUUGGGACACCGCAGUGAUUUGUUGCCGCUAAUGAUUAAAAGGCAGACGAGAGUGGGAAAUGGGCAUUUUUUUUUUUUUUAGCCAAGCAAGAUAAUGUGGCUUUCUCUCACUGCCUUCUCACGUGCCCUCUUUGGCAGAGAAAGGAGUGGGGUUAGAUGUGGUGCAGCUGGAACUGCACGUAGCUCGCUGUCGCUCCUAUCUCUCCACAGCUGUUAAUCUGGGCAUGCCCAUGGGACUGUGAUGAAUUACUGUGGAUCAUGGAAAAAUAUGGUCAGGAGCCCUUGUACUAAGGACCUGGGGGGUCUCCAGUGACUCUGGUAGUCCAAGGGAAAAGGAAC
rnacentral:lncRNA from 1 species